rnacentral:lncRNA from 1 species
GGCAGAACGGCGGCUGAAAUCCGAAUUUUUGGCGGCGUCGACGGAUAUUCGAACUGGGCCUAAAAGGCCUUGCAAGCCCACAGCAAUUGCUGUGGUUGGUCUCGGGCUUGGGCUUGCUUCGCGGGCUUCAAGACUGGGCCAAAAUGUUGGCUGGACUGGUGGACCUCGAAUGGGCUAGAAUUGUGAGUUGUUGGGCUGAUGAAAAAUUAUGUGGGCUGCUUGCUCACGGGCUAGACUUGGCCGAACAUAUUGCGUAGACUAUUGCUGGGAUUUUGGGCCGAAGACAUUGGUUGAGGCGAGAGGGAGACGGACUGGCAGCUUCGGUGGGGAAUGAUGAUGAUGGUGCUGGCAGGGAGAUGGACGAAGGCUUGGUGGGUUGAGCUGGCGGUCGAAGGAAAGGAGCUGCUGCGGAUGGUCGUUGACGCUGGACGAGUGGCAGAGAGAAAACUUGGUGGAGCAACUUCUGCCGUGAGCUGCUUCGAUCGGUUGGUGCUUUACAAGUGGAAAAUUUGCGAUCAAUGUUUGGGGGCUUCGGCAGAUGAAGGUUAACCCUGACUCGGCAGCUGCUGGACAAAUGGCACGGCUGCUGGAUUAGUGGCCUCGGGAGAUGAAGAAAAGACAGAAGAUGGUGGACGAAUUGGAGGUGCAGGCGUGAGGCAGAGGGAAAUGGAGGCAAACGCUUGCGGAGAGAGAGAGAUAAGAUCGACUGUAGGGAAGGAAAAAUUGAAAAGGGAGCCGCGGAGAGGGAGGUCGGCGAGACUUGCUGGAG